rnacentral:rRNA from 1 species
GGGUUGUGAGGUUAAGCGACUAAGCGUACACGGUGGAUGCCCUGGCAGUCAGAGGCGAUGAAGGGCGUGCUAAUCUGCGAUAAGCGCCGGUAAGGUGAUAUGAACCGUUAUAACCGGCGAUACCCGAAUGGGGAAACCCAGUGUGACUCGUCACACUAUCAUUAACUGAAUCCAUAGGUUAAUGAGGCGAACCGGGGGAACUGAAACAUCUAAGUACCCCGAGGAAAAGAAAUCAACCGAGAUUCCCCCAGUAGCGGCGAGCGAACGGGGAGGAGCCCAGAGCCUGAAUCAGCAUGUGUGUUAGUGGAAGCGUCUGGAAAGGCGCGCGAUACAGGGUGACAGCCCCGUACACAAAAGCGCAUGUGCUGUGAGCUCGAUGAGUAGGGCGGGACACGUGGUAUCCUGUCUGAAUAUGGGGGGACCAUCCUCCAAGGCUAAAUACUCCUGACUGACCGAUAGUGAACCAGUACCGUGAGGGAAAGGCGAAAAGAACCCCGGCGAGGGGAGUGAAAAAGAACCUGAAACCGUGUACGUACAAGCAGUGGGAGCCCCACCACCAAAGCAUUUGCUGUACCGCGUUGACGGAGCGAAGCGACGUCAAACCGAUAAAACAGCAGUGU